rnacentral:rRNA from 1 species
UAUUACCAUGCAAGCGACGGCGGUGUGAAGGUCAGACUGAAGAUCUUACCUGACAAGCCGAGAGGUAGUGCAUGGAGACCGACAGCUCGUGGUGUGAACUGUCCGGUUAAGUCCGGUAAGUCUAUGAGUGAUGCAAUGACACAAAAACUAAGACUAACGCCUGAUACAAGCUACAUGCUUGGAAUAUUCAGGUGCAACAGGGGAAAGCGUAUUGAACUCGUCUCAAGCUAUGAUGAUUUGAUUGCAAGGUUUGCCAAGCUCGCAAUGGACGAGUUUGGCAUAGAGCCAAACAAGAUAAUCAUCGAUAGCGAGGGCAAGGUCAAGAAAACUUUCUUCUACAACUCCACGAUGGUGAAAAGGUUUGAUAAGGCGCUUGAAAGAAGAGUAAACAUAUUCAAGUACGCCAACGCAUAUUCCGGAAACUAUUUCGCUGCGCUGUUCGACUGCAACGGAGGAAAAGAUGGCAAAGGCAUCUUUCUGAGGGGCACGGACGACGCUGACGAGAUGGUGCUCGAAAGGCUAAACAUACACACGGAUAAAAGAGGAAGCAAAAUCUAUUUUGCGAAUCCUGCUCCGUUCAUAACGCUAAUAAAAGAUUACAGCCUUAGAAUUGCGAGCAUUAUUCAUUGACCCGGAAACGAGCGAGACCCUCGCUUACAGUUGCCACCGGCUUAGAGAUAAGCCGAGCACUCUGUUAGGACCGCCUCUGUUUAAAGAGGAGGAAGGAGAGGGCGACGAUACGUCAGUAUGCUCUGAAUCUUCUGGGCUACACGCGGCAUACAAAGGUCGGCACAAUGAGGUGCAACACCGAAAGGUGAAGCCAAUCCCCUAAAACCGGCUGAAGUUGGGAUUGAGGGCUGAAACUCGCCCUCAUGAAGCUGGAAUCCCUAGUAAUCGCUUGUCACUAUCGAGCGGUGAAUACGUCCCU